GCAGAACAGCAGCUUGAGGCAAAGGCUGCAACCAUUGCAGAUUUGCACUCGAAGAUUUACCAGAACAUCCAAAUAGCACAACAGAGACAGAAAAUCUCUUUUGAAAAACGCAAGGGAAAGAAUGUGAAAUCUUUCCUGAUUAACGUUGGAGAUGAGGUCCUAAGAGCGAAUAAGAGGAAGGAGGGCCGAAAAGGUGGAAAACUGGAGUGCAACUGGUUUGGCCCUUAUGUGGUUUCCUCAAUCACCAACAAGGGUGUGGCAACCCUGUUGAGCUCAACAGGAGCUCAGCUGAGACAGAGUGUGAAUGUGUCUCAGCUGAAGCCCUUUAUCAGGCCUAUGUUGAGAGCUGAACCGAAGUUGGAUUCGGAGGGGUCAGUUGCUGACCACCAGUAUGCCCUCUCUGGUGCGAAAUACGCAAAGGAUCUACAUCCGAUUCAAGACAAGCUGCUCAGCUAUGUGCUAGACCACAAUAGGCCUGGAGCAGAGGUCAUUGUGAAGGAGGGUGAUGUGUGCCUGACCAGAGAGGACUUUUGGAGCCUGGGUCUUCCUCAGUGCAUGGAGUCAAAUAUUGGAAACACGUGCCUGAAGAUGGUACAAGAAGCCACCCAAAGACAUGGCAAAGAUAUAUACAUCGUGGAUAUGUAUGUGGUUCCUACCUGGAAGUCCAAAACAGCUGACGUGUUGGCCAGUUUUCCAGUAAGUUCCUGUUGCUUGAGACCUAUGUUUCUUGAAAUUGAUAUACAGCAACUUAAAAUCCCUUGUUUAAAAUACUAGGCUGACCAAUUGGCCACCAAGGACAUGGUUUUCAUCCCUGCCUGGAGUCGGCAGCAAGGAAAGGCAGAUCACUAUUUGCUUUGCGUGAGUCUGUUCCAAAUGAUCUCACCAGCAUGUACAAAAUGAACAUAAGUUGUGCUGUGUGGUUUUCUUCUGGUGUUUGAUUAUGUCUAAUUUCAGCUAUUUUGUCAAUGGUUGACAGGUGAUCAAGCCAGCAAAGAGAGAGUUAUAUUUGCUCGACCCUCUUAAGCCAGAUGGCUUUGGGGACAAUUCCUACAAGGACAUAUUUAGGUUUUUGUAACAUGAUUACCCCCUCACCGUUCUGUGGCUUGUAUGGGAGUUCUAAAUAGUUUAUAGUAUUCUAAUACUGCAGUAACCAUCUUGUAGACCAGGGGUCUGAAUCUGAUCAAAUUCAUUUAUAAUAUAUCUCCAUUUCCACAAAGUCUGGAGUGUCCUUAGUGGAACCAAAAGAAAAAGAGUCUGCAACAGGAUGCUAUGAAUUAUAAUAUUCAUUUUGUUAUAAGCCUUGUUCAAAGGUUGUUUUCAAGUUCAGCUUUGUUCAGCGGCUGGUAAACGUAUUUUUGUUUGUUUUAUUUUAGCCCCGUUCAGUGGCUUUCAUAACUUUCCUCUUUUAAGGCAUGCAAUAGUUCAAUGUAAGGAAAUCCAAAAACAUGAAUUAUAUUGUGUAUAGCGUUCCUUCACCAAAUCAAUUCCCAUGUCUUAUCAUUUCUUUUGACAGUGACCUAGCGCACCGCAUUGCUCCAGGUCAGUGGACAGUAAAGUUCGGCAGAGACGUCAAGGGUUAGCCUCACCAAACCACGGGCAAUGACUGUGGUGUCUUCAUACUGAUGUAUGCACUCAACUUCAGCACAGAUGCUCUACUUUGGUUUACCGAGCGGGACAUAGCACAGAUCCGGAAAUGGUGGUGCAUUAUGCUCAUGGAACGGUACCAGAUUGAAGGGUAAAUCAUACAUUUUAAAUGUUACUUUAUAGACAACAGUUUCUUUGACACUGAUUUACAUUUUCAUCCUGAUAUUAUGUGAUUUUUAUAGCCACGGACAGAUCCAGAUUAUUUAACACAUGCAUACAUAUUGAUAAUUGUAUACACAUGUAAUUAAACAAUCACAUGACCCACACCUUAUAUUUUCCUUCAAAGGUCCAGUUUCAAAAGUCCGACAUGUGCUUCAUAUUGGAGGUAAUAUCUUUUCAGUGAAGCAGUAACUGUUUUUUGUUUAAAAAACGACCUGUGAUCACGGCAGAAUUUCCAA